CCUACGGGAGGCUGCAGUGGGGAAUAUUGCGCAAUGGGCGAAAGCCUGACGCAGCGACGCCGCGUGAGGGAUGAAGGUCUUCGGAUCGUAAACCUCUGUCAGCAGGGAAGAACGGUCACUGUGCUAAUCAGCAGUGAAUUGACGGUACCUGCAAAGGAAGCACCGGCUAACUCCGUGCCAGCAGCCGCGGUAAUACGGAGGGUGCGAGCGUUAAUCGGAAUUACUGGGCGUAAAGCGCUCGUAGGCGGUAUGUCAAGUCAAGGGUGAAAUCCCCGCGCUCAACGUGGGAACUGCCGUUGAAACUGGCAAACUGGAGUGUGUGAGAGGAUCGUGGAAUUCGAGGUGUAGGAGUGAAAUGCGUAGAUAUCUGGAGGAACAUCAGUGGCGAAGGCGACGAUCUGGCACAUAACUGACGCUGAGGAGCGAAAGCGUGGGUAGCAAACAGGAUUAGAUACCCCAGUAGUC
rnacentral:rRNA from 1 species